rnacentral:rRNA from 1 species
GGGGAUAACAGGCUGAUACCGCCCAAGAGUUCAUAUCGACGGCGGUGUUUGGCACCUCGAUGUCGGCUCAUCUCAUCCUGGGGCUGAAGCAGGUCCCAAGGGUAUGGCUGUUCGCCAUUUAAAGAGGUACGCGAGCUGGGUUUAGAACGUCGUGAGACAGUUCGGUCCCUAUCUACCGUGGGCGCUGGAAAUUUGAGAGGAUCUGCUCCUAGUACGAGAGGACCAGAGUGGACGAACCUCUGGUGUACCGGUUGUGACGCCAGUCGCAUCGCCGGGUAGCUAUGUUCGGAAGGGAUAACCGCUGAAAGCAUCUAAGCGGGAAGCCUACCUCAAGAUAAGAUUUCCCUAGGACUUUAUGUCCUCUAAAGAGCCGUUCGAGACUAGGACGUUGAUAGGUUGGAUGUGGAAGCAUAGUGAUAUGUGAAGCUGACCAAUACUAAUUGCUCGUGAGGCUUGACUAUACAACACCCAAGCAGUUG